GGUGAACGCUGGCGGCGUGCUUAAGACAUGCAAGUCGAACGAUCGUCUUCGGACGGUAGUGGCGCACGGGUGAGUAACGCGUAACUGACCUGCCCCCAAGUUCCGAAUAACCCUCCGAAAGGAGGGCUAAUACGGGAUGUGCUGUCCCCUCCUGUGGGGCCAGUCAAGGCUUGACCGCUUGGGGAUAGGGUUGCGUUCCAUCAGCUAGAUGGUGGGGUAAAGGCCUACCAUGGCAACGACGGAUAACCGGCCUGAGAGGGUGGCCGGUAACAGGGGCACUGAGGCACGGGGCACACUCCUACGGGAGGCAGCAGGUAGGAAUCUUCCCCAAUGGACGAAAGUCUGAGGGAGCGACGACGCGUGAGGGAUGAAGGAUGUCGGAUCGUAAACCGCUGAAUAAGGGACGAAAGACGGGGAAGCGGGAGGACGGUACCUGAGUAAUAGCACCGGCUAACUACGUG
rnacentral:rRNA from 1 species